AGAUGGCUGCGCGCUGACGGCGCUGAGGGCGGGAGGGGCCCAUAGCAGCGCGAGGCGGGUAUCGCGGUCCCUCCCGCCGCCUCCCCGCCGUUCCCUCAGCGCGUUGCGGGGCGGCGGACAGCGGGAAGCCGCGUCGGAGCGGCCCGGAUGCGGGCGGCACAAGCGGUUCCUGAUGAUUGUUUCGUGGGACGCCUUCUUUGCCAGCAGUAUGUCUUGUUUGUAACAACAAGAUGAAUUCAUUUAAAUAAAUGAGCUCAAAUGUCACGACCACAUUGUGAGCUCGUGCAGGUGAGGGCUUUCAACAAGUGCAUGCAGUGCCUUGGCUGACAGGAACAAGCCCAUUUAAGACUACUGUGUCAGGGUUCCAAGAUCCAGCAGUGGGCUGUCAGUCUGUGCACACAACCUACCUAUCAGACUUCUGUCUGGUUCUAAGGGCAAACCAGAGCACAGACAUUAAUACAGAGCUGCAAGAUAAUGACAGCCAAUGUUGCUGCUUGGGAAGCAAUGAAUUAAUGAAUUAGGCAACACACGAAAACCUGAAAAUAUUUCAGAAACAAACACAGACUCGGGUAAUGUGAAUUUGUUUAUACAAAAAUGAUACAUAUACACAGGAAUAUUUACAACAACUUUGAGCUGUUUUCAUUUACAAAAUAAAGAUCCUAUCCUUUCGACAGCACAGUUUAUGACUACUCCAAAUAAGGAAGUAUGCAGAUGGUACGUACAAGGGACGGCAGUAAUGGCAAGUAAAUGCAUUGACCGUAUCUUUCCAAACAUCUCUUUCCAUUAUGACAUAACAUACAUAAGUUGGCAAUCAGUGUUCGCACACACGACUUAUCUAAUAAAAUGUGUUCCAUGGUUGCUCAGCUACCCAUUUGUUUCAAGUCCUCUGGGGAUAAAAGAAAGCUUUAAGUCCAAGAUUUCUUAAAGGCAAUUCAUUACCACAGACCUUUCAUUUACCCAAGAAUAACGAUCCUAGAACUAAUCUCCAUGCUAAUGUUCGUCUCGUUCUCUACUAACCAGCCUUGCAUUAUUAAUUACAGAUGCAUUUAAGAAGAGGUAGCCAGGUGUUUAAGAACUGCUGGUUGAAUUUGCUGCUGUAAGAGUGGAAUCUAGAAGUGCCGUUACUUCUGAUGGCAGUGAAUGAAGAUGGGAGGCAGGGUGGAUGGAGAAACAGGCUAACAGCCUGAAAAGCAACCGUCUGAUACAAAGCACUACUGCUGGAUAAAGAGGAAAAGAAAUAUUCAACCAUGCUCAUCAAGACAAUGUCAUUUAUUUCACACAUAGUUAGACAGCAAUAUGUGCACUGUGGCUUUUAAGGCUCUGCUCAAAUCCGUUUCUGUCACCAUGUGUUGACUGACCAGCUGUUUCUGGAGGAGUCCUCUUGACUUGUACAGAACUGCUCAAGUGUUUGCUCACUGCACCUAGUCACUGAGAGGUAGUUUGUUGCCACGUGAGGCAGAACUCAGGCACUGUGCUCAGCCUGUGUUAUGACUUUUAUUGCUCUAUGUCAGUUUUGCAGCAAGGAAAUCAGCCUUAGGACAUAAAUCAAACUUGCUUCUAGCCAAAUUCCUCAUCAUUUGCCAUUUCAUGUUGGUGCACAGCCCAUAUAGAAAUACUAAGCAGUUCUUCCCCUGGAUAACAUCAACCAGAACAGCUACAUCACAUCUAUGUUACAAUGGCAUCAGAUUUAUUUCAGGUAAAACCAAUGUCAGAAAUCACCCUGAAGAGACACGCAAUAGCUUACUUGGCUUCAGUUACCCGCUGGUUUUGAAAGGCUGAGUAAAAGCCCUUUAUAUAUAAGAAGAGAAGAAAAUCCAUUUACUGUAUUUGUAUAAAGUAAGUGAUUAAAGGCUUUGUUCCAGCUCCCA